rnacentral:rRNA from 1 species
CCUACGGGAGGCAGCAGUGAGGAAUAUUGGUCAAUGGUCGGGAGACUGAACCAGCCAAGCCGCGUGAGGGAUGAAGGUACAGAGUAUCGUAAACCUCUGUUGUCAGGGAACAAAGGCGGGGACGUGUCCCCGGAUGAGUGUACCUGAAGAAAAAGCAUCGGCUCACUCGGUGCCAGCAGCCGCGGUAAUACGGAGGAUGCGAGCGUUAUCCGGAUUUCUUGGGUUUAAAGGGUGCGCGGGCGGUCUGUUAAGUCAGCGGUAAAAGCCCGGGGCUCAACCCCGGCCCGCCGUUGAAACUGGCAGUCGCGAGUUGGAGAGAAGUAUGCGGAAUGCGCGGUGUAGCGGUGAAAUGCAUAGAUAUCGCGCAGAACUCCGAUUGCGAAGGCAGCAUGCCGGCUCCACACUGACGCUGAGGCACGAAAGCGUGGGUAUCGAACAGGAUUAGAUACCCUUGUAGUC